rnacentral:lncRNA from 12 species
ACCCCUCCCGCAGGACGGGCUCCAGCAGCGCCUGUGCGGCCCGCGCCCACCAAGCCUUCUCUGGGUGCGAGAGUGCGGCCUGGCUCAGGGGCUGCGGCGGGACCCGCAGCGGCUCCCGCCCCCGGCUCGGCCCCUGCCUGCCGGGCUGCAGCUCCCGGCCUCCCGCCCCGCCCCCUCGACUCUCCACGUUUGCCUUUGCCUUCCCUGGGCAGUGAAUUCCCCUUUGAGCCUGGGCGCGGGGAGCCCGGGAAGCCUCCGUGGGCGCUGCAGGGACAGCCAGGCCCCCUCCCCGUGUCCGGGCCCUGGGCGCUGUGCCUUCGUCCGCUCCGGCUGCACCGGCUCCACCCGGCCGCCGCCACCCGCAGCAAGCAGGCAGGUGCUCAGCCCAGGAGCCAGCCAGAGGCUGUCAGAAGGACCGUGGGUGUGGCCGGCAGGGGCGGCCGUGCAGGCAGCACAGGUGCUGCAGAGGCGGGAUGCGAGCUGGGACUCCGCGGGGCCCUGGGGGGCUCCUGGCCCAGCCGUCUCCCGCCCCCCCCUGCAGUCUUCCUUGCUUAUCCACAGCCCCGGAAGAAGGCUUGUCAAGGUCUGGGCUUCCAAAGGAGACAGAUGGGAAUCAGGUCCCCAGCAGGGCUGCUGUGCUGCAUGUCGCCUCCGCGAAUGGCGCCCCCUGGAGGAGCAGCUGCUCGUGCUUGCCCAGGUUGCCCAAGAGCCCUGGCAGGGCUGGCCCCACAGGGUGUGCAGGGCGCCGACCGAGCAAGCCUGUGCCCACCUGUGCCAGGGGGCAGAGAAGCAGGGGAGUCUAGGCCCCGCCCUUGGGGGAUUCCGAAGCCGGGUGACCGUGAGGAAGAGAGAACAUCCAGGAGGGACGGACCGGAGCAGGACGUCCCCACAGCACGCUCCAGCACCGCCGCACUCGGGGUCCCACGAAGAGCAUCCUUUGUUGACAGCGUGCAGCCUGGUGCCGCCCGGUCCAGAGCCGAGGCCUGGAGCUCGGAGCAGCGUCCGUGGGCUGCGGUCAGGGGGGGCCUCCUGGAGGAGUUGGGUGCUGGGGAGGAGGGAAGCAGGGGCUGCGGUAGGGGCGGGCUGCCCGAGCGCAGGCCUGGCACACGGAGCCACAGCCCUGGUGGAGGUGCAGCUGUUGACUGGGUGGAGUGGGGGGUCCCCCCAGGUGAGCGGGAGGCUGGGGGGAGGCGCCGGUGGCCGCUGCAGUGACUGCCUCGGAGGCGGUGCUGGCAGAGGGCCCUGUGCAGGCCCCAGGGGCUGCGGGGGUGGGGGUGCUGCUCGGUCCCACCCUCCUAUUGUCCCCGCUGGACUGGGGGCCCGGCUCUCACGCUGGGCGAGGUGGCCCUGUGGGCAGGAGGUGGGCCAGCCCCGUCUCCUCCGGCUGGAACAGCCCUGAGCCCCAAACCCUGACUCACGUGGCCGAAGCCAGGCUCCCUUCCCCAGGGAUCAGUCCCCCUGGUUGUCCCGGUUUGGGCCCUUUCGGGGCAGCGUGUGGGAAAUCUUUCAGCUUCAGCAAGUCCUGCCUCUGCCACACGUGGCCAAAGCCCUGCUGCCGGCCCAGGGCCAGGCUGGGGGCAGAGGGGAGAGGACCCUAGCUGCGGGGCUCAAGUCGGGGUGCUCAGCGGUGGAAGUGCCUGGGACCGAGGCUCCCGUGUGUGUAGGGGACCGCAGAGGAGGCAUCUCCACCCUAGUCCCCUCCCCAGCCGGUGAGACCUAGCGAGCACAUCUGUGCCACUUGGAAAGAAGCCACCGGAAGUGGGUUGGGGUGACCUGGGGCCCCCGCAGUGCCCGGACAGCUCCAUUUCUACUAGCACACCCCAGGCCUCGGAGGUACCGCGCCCCCUCACGGGCAGCUGGGGGGCUGAGCACAGGAAGGCCCGGGGCGCCAGGUGGCGGUUGCCCCGACUCUGCAGGAGAGCUGCAGAGCGGCCGCAGGUGCAGGAGCCCCGGCCUCCCCGGCCUCCCUCCCUGCACGCCCCUCCACCCGCUCUUCCCCGCUGCCCAGUCUCUCCCACUGCAAGCCAGUUAGGCGCCUCCAGCUCUUAGGACGCCCCCUAGCUUGAUGCUACACCCCCUCAUUCUGCUUCUAACUCCUGUGCCCCGGCGCCCGCCCACCCUUCCUUGCCUGCACCCAACACGACCGCCCGUCGGGCCCCCUGCUGUGCGCCGGAGGACCAAGGUCAGAUCAGACCACCCCUCGUCCCCAGAGCUCGUGGUUUGGGGCCACACACCCACUGAGUGGGUAGAAGUUGCCACUGACAAUGCCUGGCGCGGGUGGGGGGGGAGAGCUGGUGGGGGAGUCCUCCGCAUGGGGGGUGUUCCCGAGCCCCGGGCUGGUGCAGCUGGAGAUCGGGCUCCACAGGCCAGGCUCCGCACAGACCCAGGAACCUGUACUU